rnacentral:misc_RNA from 1 species
UGGAGUUGCCUUUGUACGGGUUGUUCUCCCCUCCUCCCAACACAUUCACAUCAACAUAGACGCAACCACACACAUCCAGCCCGAGGAGGGGCUAGGAAGGAAAAAGGGCGUCGCCCCCCUUCCCCCCUUACUGACCAUCGCACAGUGUAGGUGUCUCUCUUCCUCCUCCUUGGUCCAAGUGAGUUUGGCUGCUGUUGCCGACGAAGAAGCCGUAGGGUGUGACGGAAGGCUUCACGGACCGCCAUGGAGGACGUGGAUGCAUUUUUGGCCAGCCUGGACCAGUUCUCAUCGCCGACCAUCGAUGCUGGCAUCCAACGGCAGCAGGAGCGCCAGAGCGGAGAAGUGACAACACCGAGUGCGUCGGCAGCUUCGGCAGCUGCACCGCGCAACUCUCAGCGUCAGCAUCGUCGACGGCAGCGCGACGGCGAUACUGGUGCGCUGGCCUGUCCCGCGGCGCCGAAGCAGCUGCAUUUUGCAAACUCGAGUGACAACGCGGGCCAAAACCGUAGUGUCCCGCAUCUCCCUGCAGCCUCGCCGUCUUCGCACCCACAUGCUGUGGUAAGCAGGCACCCACCGCAUACGUGGUGGUGUUCCAGAUGCGCAGCAGAGAACACGGCUCAGAUGCAGAGCUGCGCGCUCUGCCAUCGUCGUCGCCACCGCGUGGAGGGGCCCCGACCGCCGCAGGCGUCGCCUGAAGCGUCUCUCCCCUCGGCUUCGCCAGUCGGCUCACCUGCACCGAUGUCAGAGUCUUCUCAGGUUCGCUCCACCGGUGCACCGGCGGGUGCACGCGGUGGAGAGCCAGGCUAUGAGCCGGUCGUUGUUGCAGGGCCAGGGGAAAUCUCGUGUCCCCGAUGCACCUUUCUUAACUCGUCCUCGAGGCGCACCUGCGAGAUGUGCGACGGAACACUGCCCGCGGCGAUCGCUUCCUUCACGACCACCAUGAAGGACGUCGGCGCCUCUCUGCAAAAGUCGAGCCCCUCGGCCGCCAUGUCCGGUGGCACGCCGCUUGGUUUCGGCGCGUCUGCCGCUGCACCAGUCCCUUCCAGGGCUCUCGCAGGCCUGGGAAGCGGCGGCCGUCCGCGGGGCGAACACGCACCGGAACCAGCGCCGUCUGGCGUCGCCGCCACGACGCAGCGUGUGGUUCUGGAGGAGGCCGCCAGGGCAACCUUGUCUCUCUCUCCCGUUGCCCUGGGCAGCCAGAGCACCCAGUCGUCGUCCUCGUCUUUCUCUGAUAGUGACGACGAUGAUGACGGGGAGAGCGGGGGCGAGUGGAGUGACGAGGAGGAGAUCGCGUCGCGCGACACGGCUGGCCACCGCGAACUCGUCCGCUUCCUGGAAGCAUUGCAGUCGGUGAAGUUCGACACGCUGCCGUGCGCCGCCGUUCCAGCGACGAUGCGGGCACGUGCGGAGCUGCGUCCCUUUCAGCUGCAGGCGCUCUACUGGCUGCUGUCGCGCGAGCAGCCGCCGCUUCUUCGCGCGCGUGUGGCGCCCGGGGACACCGACUCGCUUAUCGCGACGAAGGAGGCGACGCGCACUAUCGACAGCGGCGCCGUCAGCCGCGGCGAUGAGGAGGAUGAUGUGACUUACGCUGGCGGCAGCGGCCGUGGUGGAGGUGAAGCCUUCGGGGAGGGCGCAGACUUCGAUGCGGAGAGCUCGUGUACGGCAUCGUCCGCCUCUCGUGCGCUGACAACUACAUCGUGCCCUCCUUCUUCGGGUGUUGCCACCCGCACCCCCAACGGCGGCGCAGAGGACGAUACCAACAUGUCCAUGAGAGGGCAGGAGAUGAUAUGCACCGUGCGCGGCGGUGUGUUCGCCGACUACAUGGGUCUAGGUAAGACGCGCACGCUUAUCGCGUUGUGCGAGACUACGCGGGUGCCACGCAUCGAUCGCGUGACCGGCUCCUUGGUGGAGUCGGCGGCGACGCUCAUUGUUUGCCCGACCUCCCUCCUCACACAGUGGGUGCGUGAAAUACAACACUGCGUGCAGCGGCCUGCCGCGGCGCCGCUACGCAUUCUCGUCUACUACGGAGCUCGCAAGCGCCACCUCAGCCUCUUCCAGGUGGCGCAGUCCUACGACUACGUCCUGACCACGUACCAGACGCUCUGCCAAAAGCAGCCACCCGCCUCUCGCUUCGGCCACACGCAUGCCAACGGAGGCGCCAUGAGGAGCGGAGGCGGCUCUCCGGCGAGGGCCGCUGACUUUUCCGACGUAGACGAUUUUGCCGAGGGCUCGUCUUUCCCUUCGAGCGUGGACGAUUACGAUGUUGACCGGCGGCUGCAGACAGAGGUGGAUAAGCUCUUCAUGAUCCGAUGGGGUCGCAUCAUCCUGGACGAGGCCCACUACAUCCGCAACAUGCGCACACAUCAGAGUCGCGCGUGCCUCAAGCUCAGUGGCGUCUGUCGCUGGGCCGUGACGGCGACGCCAGUGCAGAACAGUCUCAACGACCUCUAUCCUCUCCUCCGCUUCCUCGCCGUGCCGCAUUUCAGCUCGCUUGUGUGGUGGAACAACGAGAUUGUUCGCUACUACAACCUCGACCCGCUCCAUCCGCGCCCCGUCACGGCGCUCAGCAUCCUGUUCGGCUCUAUCUUGCUUCGCCGCACACCGGACUCCAUUGUGGAUGGGAAGCCCAUACUGGAGCUGCCGCCAAAACGGGCGAUCACCUACACCGUGGGCUUGUCGCGCGAGGAGAUGCGCUUCUACCAGUCGAUUCACGCCAAGGCAACGGAAAAGCUGAACGCGCUGCGCGACCGCGAGGCGUGCGCGGCUCGCACGCCGCUGGCCACCUUCACGACUGCCUUCGAAAUGCUUGUGCGCUGCCGGCAAACGUGCCUGCACCCGUACAUCGUGGUAGCGGCUCUCCGCCGGUGCCACCGCCUGCCGGGUGCAGAGGCUGGCCGCGGCGCCACCGCUUCGCCGGAUGGGAUCGACCGCACCUCUGCUGCCACCAACUGUGCAAGCAGCGAGGAGGCGCGGCAUCAACGCGAGGAGGAUCAGCGGACGGCGCGCGCCAUCGAUGAGUUUAUUCAGACGGUGGUCCUUCGCCGGCUGCGCACCAUCAAAGCCAGGGAGUUUGUCCAGUCCCUCGUCGAGGAGAUUAAGCACCAGAAGCUGGAGUCGCGCGAGUGUAUCAUCUGCCUCGAAACAGUGAACCGUCCGGCUAUUCUGCCCUGUGCGCACGUCUUCUGCGAGGAGUGCAUCAAGCACGCUUUGCAGGCAACACGGCGGUGCCCGCUGUGCAAGCGCAACUCGAAAGCGUCGGAGCUGCUGCUGGUUCCGGUGGAGCUUUUGGACCGCACGGCGCAGCAGCCGAACACGUCUACAGACGGAGCUGACCGCGCUGGCGAUGGCAGGACGAGUCCAGCCGAGCCGGCCCCAGAAGUGCCACUGCAUUUGGAUCUAUCUGACAUGAACAACUGGAGCCUGCAGCUGAGCUCGAAGACGCAGUACCUGAUCGACACGAUCCGCUCUCUGCCGGCGGAGGACAAGGUGGUGGUGUUCAGCAGCUUCCUGACGUACCUUCGCUGUGCGCAGCACUGGCUGCAAGCGGCUGGGGUUUCGUGCGCGCUUUACAGCGGGUCGAUGACGAUGAAGCAGAAACAGUCCUUGCUGGAGCUCUUUCAUGACGCGGCUCGGCCAGCGUCGCCGCGCGUCCUCCUCGCCACGAUAAGCAGCUGCGGUGUGGGGCUGAACCUGACCUGUGCCAACCACUGCUUCCUGAUGGAGCCAUCGUGGAACCCUGGCACGGAGGAGCAGGCGCUUAACCGAAUUUAUCGUAUUGGCCAAACAAAGCCGGUCACCUUCACGAAGCUCAUCGCCGAUGGCACGAUUGAGCAGAACAUCAGCCAACUGUGCGACCGGAAACGCGCGCUGAGCGGGUACUGCUUCAGCAGCAGUGUGACAGGCGCGGCCGCCGCUGGCGGCGGCGGGGAUGGGCGACUGCGCACAGCCGAUUUGCUGGAGCUGUUCGCGCCUGAGAAGUCGAGUGAGAGCAGCGACGAUGACGACAGUAGCGAGGAGGACGACGAGGCAGAGGGGGAAUAGGAGGGUGGGCAGCGGGAAGGGUGAUAGUGGGCUGGGGUGGUGAUGCUGGCUAUCACAGCGGUAUAUAUGUAUAUAUCUGCACUCUCUGUUUUCUCUUUGUCUCUCCUGUUCUACUGUGCCUCCGCACACCGACUCGGCGUCCUUGUCAGAUCGCAGCCGUUCGGACGUCCGACCCAUCUAACACAACAGGCACCAAAGGCAUCGGCAGCCAACAGGACAAGUAUCCACACUCGCGUGCGUCGCUGUCAUCCCCGCAGGGCGGUGAUGGACAUGAUACCUGAAUAAAAUGGCGUGUAGCGUCGUUGGUCAAGCAGGCUAUGCAGCAGCGCGCACUUUCUCCGAGUGUGUUUGUGCGCUUGCGCUCCGUUCUUCUCUCACAUAAUCAGCGACGUCAGCUGUUCCUCGGGCUCUCUUCGUAUUCUGCGUCUUGGACACCCCUCUCGCUCACCCCGCCUCCUACCUGCGCGCCGACCCUCGAGCGGGGGCCGAUGUACCCAUGCUUCGCCAACCC